GGGAUUCAGAAACAAUGGAGACGAUUGCUCGUGCUUGCAAGCUGAGUGCUCUACUAGAGAGCAGUGGCUGUAGUAGCUGCUACAGGACGGAGAGGGGUGGCUGUAGGUGACUGGCUGCACGCUGCAGUAACCCUGUACUCUCUGAGGGUGUUUGUGUAAAAGAUACAACUCUCAAAUUUCAGCAGGUCUUAGUUCUGUUUUGAAAAACCCUUGUAGAUGUAGAAAGACAGCCAGUGUGCUCCUUAGCUGAAGGUGAGUAUCUUAAUUUGAUGGUCAAGGAGGGAAGAGGAAUUAAUAUCUUGAUGCAUUGGUCAGGUAUGGCAGGUGCCUGUCAGAAUGAAUGGUGGAGUCAAAUCCUCUUCUAGUCUAGUGGUGGGACUGUGGCACGCUUUGUUAUUGCCUUAGUAUGAUGUUACGCGUGCCUUUGGUCUGAAAGAAAAAUCCUUCAGUCCUCUCAUAUGUGCAAUAAUCACCGAAUCUAAAUAGAUAUCCAUCUGAUACGUUAGACAUGUUUAAUAAGCUUAAUUGCACAAUAAAGCAGCAUGAUGAAUUUUGUUCAUGGAAAGCAGCNUUCCAGAUGAAAGAGAUGUCUGUAUAACACUUAUCCAGGUUUUUGUUUUGUCUUGUGAAGCUGCCUUCUUUAGUAUUCUAUUAGUUUGCAUAAGUAUGCUCAACUUUAAUGCAGUUUGGCCUAAUUUAUGUGUGCUCUGGCUGUAAUUGAAAUGUGCGUGUACAGAUCGUAUGUCAUCUUGUGAACCAACAGAACAAUCUGAAGGAAGCUUUUAAGUACUACACGGCUAGCCAAGUUGAUGGCUAUGUUUUUUGUCUCUCCUUUUUUUCUUUUCUUCCUAUUUUCAGAGUGGAGAGCAGGAAGUUUCUUUGAAGAAACCUGUUGGAAUGCCUCACAUCAAUGCAGCUGCAGCUCUGCGGAUCUGCGUGCUGCUGUCUGUGCUUCCUGCACAAUAUUUCAUAUCCCAGUGGUACGGAACAGACUCUGCGCAGUGCAUCCAAAUAACAGAAAAGUUGAAUCAUUGUUGGAUGGGACAUCAAAGCUAACUCUCCAGAAAAAUGGCUACAACACAAAUAUCCUCCAGCAAACCAGGGUCUAAAAGACAGUCUUAGCUGUGGAAUUCUAAUUAACAAAGCAAAUGGAUUUGGCAAAUCUACAGCUUACAUUCCUGAGGAAGAGAUAGCAAUUAUUAUGGGAUUAGAGGUAGUAUUUAUUUUUGAUUCAGUUGCAACUUGUUUGUUAUCCUGUAUUUAGAAGUUAGCUGACCUUUGACUUAAUAGAUACCAUCUAUUUUGCAAAGUUAGUGAAAACUAGUAGAGAAAGCAGAUAAACAAAUUACUGCUGUACUUCCAAGUAUGUGUUUUGGAAGACAGUAAAUGACCAAACCCAGGCACUGCCUACUUCAGAAUAUCCAACUGCCUAAUUUUGUAAGUGUUUUAGAGACUUGGCAUCUGUUAUGUGCAGGCUGUUGCAGACAUGGACUUUUGUUUUAGGAUUUCACUGGCCUAUCCAAGUCAUUUAAUCUCUGCUGAAUCUAGCAAAGUGUAUUGGUUUUUCAAUUCCACUCUGAAAAACCUGCGUUUCAAACAGCUCCUGCUCAGCUGCUGCCCAGACUGAAUGUCUCCUCUCUGGAGACAGAACUCUGUGGGAGCCAAAAAUUCUGAUUUGCUUAUCAUGGUCUGGGUAGCUUUUGACUUCUAGUUUAUGCAAGGUGCACCUCAUUCUUAAACUAGUCAGAGACUAAUCCAGAACACAGCCUUCAAGCAUGUAUGCCACAUACAAAUGGCUUUCUGCAAGGGAUCCAGUGCUAUUGUACUGUCCUCCAACUCAGGGGGACUAUAAGGAUGUAGUGAGGUUAUGCGGUGAGGAAAUUAGAAAGGCAAAAGCGCAGCUAGAACUUAAGUUGGCCAUUGCCUUCAGAGGUAACAAAAAAUGUUUUAACAAAUAUAUCAGAAACAAAAGGAGGGCCAAGGACGAUCUCCAUUCUUUAUUGGAUAGGGGGGUGGGGGAACAUUGCCACAAAGGAUGAGGAAAAGACAGGUACUUAUUGCCUUCUUUGCUUCAGUCUUUACCAGCAAGACCAGUUACCCUCAGGGUACUCAGCCCCCUGAGCUGGAAGACAGUGACAAGGAGGAGCAGGACGAAGACCCCACAGUCCAGGAGGAAACCUGCUGCUCCACUUAAGACAUGCACAAGUCUAUGGGACCCGAUAGGAUCCACCCAAAGGUACUGAGAGAGCUGGUGGAAGAGCUCACCAAGCCAUUCCCCAUCAUUUACAAACAGUCCUGGCUAACGAGGGAGGUCCCAGCAGACUGACAUCCAUCUACAAGAAGGGCAGGAUCCAGGCAACUACAGCCCUGUCAGCCUGACCUCGGUGCUGGGGAAGGUUAUGGACCAGGUCAUCCCGAGCGCCAUCGCACAGCACAUGCAGGACAGCCAGGGGAUCAGGCCCAGCCAGCUAGGGUUUAUGAAAGGCAGGUCCUGCUUGACUGACCUGAUCUUCUAAAACAAGGUGACCUGCUUAGUGGAUGAGGGAAAGGGUGUGGAUGUUGUCUACCUGGACCUUAGUAAAGCCUUUGACACCAUCUCCCACAGCAUUCUCCUGGAAAAACUGGCUGCUUAUGGCUUGGACAGUACUGCUCUACACUGCAUUAAAUGCUGGAUGGAUGCCCAAAGAGUGGUAGUAAAUGGAGUUACAUCCAGUUGGUGGCCGGUCACAAGCGGUGUUCCCCAGGGCUCAGCACUGGGGCCAGUCCUGUUUAAUGUCCUUAUCAAUGAUCUGGAUGAGGGGAUCGAGUGCACCCUCGGUGAGUUUGCAGACAACACCAAGCUGGAGGGCAGUUAUCGAUCUGCUUGAGGGCAGGAAGGCUCUGCAGAAGGAUUUGGUCAGGCUGGACUGAUGGGCCAAGCCAACUGUAUGAGGUUCGACAAGGUUCAGUGCCAGGUCCUGCACUUGUAACGGGCUGCCCAGGGAGGUGGUGGAAUCACCAUGCCUGGAGCUGUUUAAAAGAUGUGUAGAUGUGGUGCUUAGCGAUGUGGUUUGGUAGUCCUGUGUUAAUGGUUGGACUUGAUGUCAAAGGUCCUUUGCAACCUAAAUGAUUCUAUGAUUCUAUUGUGGAUGCCUUUUAAAUUGUGGAUAGUGGCAGUAUCUGUAUUGAAAGUAACAGCAAGUAGCUGAACCGUUCAUCUAACAGGAGAUGCUUGGUCUAGUCAAACAGAGGAGAUUCAAUUGGCAUCUUUUGCCUUUCAGGAGAACCCCACAAGGACUUGUCUAAGUUAGGCUGGCCUGAAGACUCUCCAUGCUCUCUCUUGGAACUGUGCCAUUGCACAUAAAGGAUCCUCUCAAUCAGUGGGGCCGAACAGUAUGACACCCUUGCCUCUUUUCUCUGGGAGAAGCCUUAGUUCCAGUCCUUGUUUCUGUUUUAGCCACUGGUUGUAAUAUAAAAUGUGCUAACGUGCCUGAACCUAGGAGCAGGAACUAUGCUGUCCCAGAUAAGCAUCACAAGUAUUUAAAAUUGGGUUUUGACCACUCUAACUUAUGUGUCUGAAAAAUGUGCCUUCUACUAUGUCAGUCAGCUGGCUACCAACAGUUACCUUUAUAGUCCAUGGGGAGAAACAGAUACCUCACCUUAAACAUUUACGUUGUGUAAACUAGCCUUUUAAUACCAGUUUGCUUCUGGUAUUCUCCCCGCAGUUUAUUAGGGGAACCGAUGGUUACAGGCUCACACAAUCAGGUAUUUGAAAACUGUCUAGUUGAGAUUAGUUUCAAAUGGUGAGUCAUGCCUAUACCUCAAGAUCAAAAGAAGGUCUGUGGAUUGCCUUCACUCAGCCUUUCCUAUAUCACAAUAGGCAAAGUAAUUUCCUGAAGAGUUGAGACUGAUGAGAAAAUGUUUACACUUGUCCUAACCCUUUCACAGUUGCCAGUUCUAACCCACUCACUGCAGGCUUUCUGCAUCAUGACAAGGCACAUAAGUGGGACUGCCCUUUGUGGAUCUGCAUCUUCAAGCUGAACGUUGUGGUACCUAAGGCCAUCAACUUUGUGUGUCUUCACCAUUUCUCUGACUGCUUCUUUACUGUUCCUGCUGCCUAAUUGGAUUAGGUAACUGAUCCAGUUGGAAAACAAAAAUGGUCUAUCAGCAACAAAUGGGUGGCAAGUACUUCAGUAAGAAACAGUGCUGAUUUUAAAACAUCAAUGCCAGUAUAGGUCUAGUGUGUCACACCUCAUGAGGUAUGUUCAAGAUUUGUGGAGUACUUUGAGGAAUGCUGACAUAAAUUAGGUUAAGGUACAUAGAAAAUCCCACUGAAGUAUCUCUAUGUAUAAAACGCUCUUAAAAACUAAUCGGGAGCUUUCAAAAAAUUAACUGUAGUGACUUUUAAUGAUUCUUUUAAAUAUCAGUUUGUAUUAAUUGCUAAUUCUGGUGCUUAUUCAACUUGAAAUACUGUCUCAGGUGCAUCACCCUGAUAGGAAAGCCUAUUUCAGUGGAUAUGGUGGAUCAAAAUACAUUAUGCAGCCAUGGCUGGGAAAAAUAUCUAGCCUCAUGACUGAUGUACUUAAGUGUUUGUACAUGUAAAGUACAUUUAGAAAACAUACUUCCUUUUUAAACUUGAGCAAACAGAUACCAGGAUAAAACUCAUGUACCUUUUUUUCUAUGAUGAAAUAAAACAUUGCUAAGCAUGUUUUGAGUAAUUCAUUUCAUUAUAAGCAAACAUACUGCACAUUCAGUUUACUGUAACUCAGGGCAGGCAUUAAAUUCCUUCCACAUUUGGUUUAAAUAUAGCCUGGCUUCAGCAAGGAAUAGCAAAGGUUCUGCACAUCAAACAUCUUGCCCUUUUACAGAGGGCAGAGGAAGAAACUAAACAGUUAAGAACUGUACUUACAAUUAAUUGUAACCUUAAUUUUAGGGAAUAGAGCUAAAUAAGGGCCAACAGGAACUAAAAUAUUUCUGGGGAGAGCUGUUAUAAGUAAAUCCUUCAAUACUUUGAUAGCUCUCUCUACAAAAACACACAUUGCACUGCUUUCAAAUGGUACAUGCAAAGGAAGAGUUAAUCUAAGUUUUUGCACAUGGACAGAUACAUCAAGAAACCUACUUUGGCUUACUACACAAAUUUCAUUCUUGAUGUUCUCUCUUAACUCUACUUGCUACCAUAAGAAUAAAGUAAAAACAACAACAAAAAAACCCAAAGCAAGCAUAAAAACUUUAUUAAGAAAA
rnacentral:lncRNA from 1 species